UUGUGUUCCUGGCACUAAUAUGUUGCUUUCAGAGAGCCAGUUGUAACCAAUACAGCAACAGCGACUCCACUAGUUCACGUUACUAAGUUAUCUGCUUGGAUGUUUUCAGUCACUAGAAGAAGGGUAGAGAAAUGUUUGUGGGUUGAUAACUUUGGAAGGUGCUUCUUUGGGAAAACAAAACAUAAACAAAGAAAUGACAUAAAAUAAAUUAUGC